CAGUUUCUUGUGGUGGUUUUAUCAAGUGGUGGUUACCUCUACCUCUCUGUGCCCAUGUUCACGGCGGUUUCAGUCAGAGGUUAUGCUCUCUCUCCCAUAGAAUCUUACGGUUAGCUUAUAUUAAGGGCAGUUUUUGCAUUACUAAAACCACCGUACCCACGUAUGCAAUCCACAACCACCUCCUGUGAACCCUUAUAUAAACACAUAAAUUGUGAAAUUGGAGAAUAUCCUCCAUCCUUCUCUACUUUCGGCUGCACUCUAGGUAGAGGUACAGAAGGAAGAUCAAUGGAACUUGAUCGUCGCUGCCUCCUCCACAUGAGGGUUUCUACAAAUGCAUCAGUUUUGUAUCAAUUUAGCCAAGCAGAACAGAGCAAACACUAUGGUAGAUUGCAAUGACAUUGAUGACCGGAUGGAUUCAGAGGUUGGCAACUAGGAGGAGAUGGAUGAAAAGUUGAUGAUGACGAUGAUGAUGAAAAAUCGUGAAGUUUGGGAACCCUUUGGGGAUAUUGUUGAGGUAAGGUUGGUGAGAUAUAUGGAGACCAAUGAAGGUAAGGGUUUUGCAUUUAUGGCAUUUAGAAGUAAAAAUCUUGCUUAAAAGGUCAUUGAAGAGCUACAUAACAAAGAUUUUAAGGUAAUGUGCCAAAGACUUGGAUUGAUGAUGAGUUCAGAAUAGUAAUUGAGGAAAUUGGCCUAGGUUCAGUAGUGUUAUUGAGAUCUUAUAAAGGAUCCUCAAGACCCGUCUCAUAACCGUUGGUUUGCUUUUGUUGAGUAUUACAAGAGUGCAUGUGUGGACUGUUCAAGACAGAAACUAGCUACCCCAAAUUUUAAACUUUAUGGAAACACCCCAACGGUUACUUGGGCUGAUCCUAAAAUCACCCCUGAUCAUUUUGGCUACUGCUGCACAGGGACUAAAACUAAAGCAUAGGAUGGCGUAAAAGCUACUUUAGCUCCAAAGGUAUGUUUUGUUUAAUGCCAGCAUUUAUAUCUUGAGCUUACUUAUAUAAUUUUAAGCUUUAUGAUCUCGAGGUCAUGGGUUCAAGUUGCGGGAAACAACCUCCUGCAUAAAGUAUAGGGUAAGGUGGCGUACAUCAUAUUGCGAAGCGAUCCGACCACACUCCCUGGACCUGUGCAAUUGCGGAAGUUAAGUCAAGCACCGGGGCUCUUCUGAAUUAAAAAGGAACUUUGUGGUUGAUUGUUGAUGAAAAGAAUGAUAAAUGUAGCAAGCUCCAGCUCAAAGUUAUAGAGUUUGCCGUGGUAAUCAUGUUCAGAGGAGUGAAGAUGAUGAGUUAACCUUUACGAAAGGGUCACUGAUCAUACCAUGUGGCCACCAUAAAUACACCUCUAUACAUCUCUUGAGGGGAGCAUUUUUUUUAGAUUUUUAUUUAUAAAAAAAGUUGUCUUUGUCCAUUACUAUUGGAAGUUCUUGGUGAAUAAGUUUUUGAUUUUUUUUUUGCAA